GGGCACUUGGCACAGUGGUAGCGCGCCUGCUUUGCAUAGAACGUGAUCUCGGUCAUGUCAUAUGACUGCAUGAGGUCGAGGGUUCAAUCCCCUCAGUGUCCA